UUUCGUUUACCUCAUGACAGGUGAUGCUGAGACGGUUUUGUCCUCGUAAGACUACUCUACUGUUUGUUAUACGAGAUAAAACAAGGUCACAAUUGAAUGAGGCUAUUUUAAGAGAGGAUUAUGGAGAAGCUGCAAAGCUGAAGUUGGCCAUAACUGGUGCUACAAAAAGGAUAUUGUUGGAGCAGCAUUGACUAUUAUGAAUAGAGCUAUAGAGGAAGAGCGAUG